rnacentral:lncRNA from 1 species
ACAUUGCCCGCGAAGCCCUUCUCGUAAUUCGACGCGGAAUGUCUCUCUUCCGCCAGGUCUGUUCUCCAAUUCUAUUUCCACCACCAUCCUCACCUCACCGUUUGUUUUUACAUUUUCUGCCACUUUUGAGUGUCACAUAUCAUAGCUGCUUAUGUUAUGCUGUGCUCGUUGUUUAUUUAGAUUUGUGUUAUGGGUCUUGGGAAUCAGUGCUCUUAGAGCAUUGGUUAAGGAAUUAAAAUGAGCAGCACAAUAUUUUGCCUCCCAAUAAAAACAUUUCUACUUUUAAGUUCAUGGGAUUAGCAUUUGCCUUGUGUUAUUUAUACAACAUUUUUUAUAAUAUAAUAUUGCCAUUUUUUGUUUAUGUUUUUCCAUUGCAUUAUUUAUGUAAUUUUUUGUAUCGACAAUGGUUAGUUUUGUUAGUUUUUAUUAGUGGGAGGAUUCGAAACUGCGACCUCUCUCGACCUCUCCCUCCUCCCUUCUCACUUGUGCAAUAUAACAACUAUACACUAAUAAUAAUGUAAAACAAUUUAUAAUUGGUAUGAAUUUAAGUUAAAUUAUUAUAGAAGUCAAUAAAUUUAUGUUAGGUGGUGGUGAGUUGUGAUAGAUGAUAGUGCAAAUGUUUUUCACUGUAAGUUCAUAACAUAUUUUCUCGUGUUUAUAUUGCAUCUAAUAUUUGUCUCUCAUAGUUGUAUAAUCUGUUACAUAAGUUGUUGUACAAAUAGCAUUUCCCGUUAAUUUGUUGUUAAGGGUGAUGUUUUGGGGUCUCUUGUGAGUUCGACAAGGCAAUUCAGUUGGACCCUCGUCAAAAGGCAUGCAGGAUACACAUUUUGGAAAACGCUUCUAUCAAUUCACUUUGAUAUUUUGGUUAUGAAACAUUGUGAUUGUUACCGGAUCUUUGGCAAAGGGGCUUAUCACUUUACUACCUUAAUCG